UACGUAGGGUCCGAGCGUUGUCCGGAAUUACUGGGCGCAAAGAGCUCGUAGGUGGUUUGUCGCGUUGUUCGUGAAAACUCACAGCUCAACUGUGGGCGUGCGGGCGAUACGGGCAGACUGGAGUACUGCAGGGGAGACUGGAAUUCCUGGUGUAGCGGUGAAAUGCGCAGAUAUCAGGAGGAACACCGGUGGCGAAGGCGGGUCUCUGGGCCGAUACUGACGCUGAGGAGCGAAAGCGUGGGGAGCAAACAGG
rnacentral:rRNA from 1 species